UUGUUCUCCCACUAAAAUCAU
rnacentral:misc_RNA from 1 species